rnacentral:rRNA from 1 species
UACGGGGGGGGCAAGCGUUGUUCGGAAUUACUGGGCGUAAAGGGCUCGUAGGCGGCCAACUAAGUCGGACGUGAAAUCCCCAGGCUCAACCUGGGAACUGCGUCUGAUACUGGAUGGCUUGAAUCCGGGAGAGGGAUGCAGAAUUCCAGGUGUAGCGGUGAAAUGCGUAGAUAUCUGGAGGAAUACCGGUGGCGAAGGCGGCGUCCUGGACCAACACUGACACUGAGGAGCGAAAGCCAGGGGAGCAAACGGG